rnacentral:rRNA from 1 species
UACAUGGGGUGCAAACGUUGCUCGGAAUCAUUGGGCGUAAAGCGCGCGUAGGCGGUUACUUAAGUUGGAUGUGAAAGCCCUCGGCUUAACUGAGGAAGUGCAUCCAAAACUGAGUAGCUAGAGUACGAAAGAGGGUCGCGGAAUUCCCGGUGUAGAGGUGAAAUUCGUAGACAUCGGGAGGAACACCAGUGGCGAAGGCGGCGACCUGGACAGAUAUUGACGCUGAGGUGCGAAAGCGUGGGGAGCAAACAGG